AAAAAUGCCAACCUUUCCCCUUUCUUGUGUCAUUCCUCCUGAGAGCGUCGAUCCACAGCCGAGAGCUCGACCACGCCGCGCUCGAUCGCCGGCGCCUAGUCGCAGAUCGAAUCGCCAAUCUCCCCAACCCCUUAACGGAGGUCGCGAAGGGGGGAGCCUUCUCCGAAGAGCAGUAGCGCGCGAGGGAUCUCCAGCCAGGAGGAGCAGAACUGAGCUCCGGAGUUGCUGUGGUUGAACCGCUGAUUCCAAGGGCCCGAUCUUGGUGGAGAGGGUGUGCUGUAAACAGAGUCUCAUCUUCCCGAGUACAGAGUCGAGCUUAUCGGGUCGAGCUUCUCUCCGCCGAUCGUGGGGGUUCCGACAUCAAGUGGCUCACUGUGAAGGUUCGGCCAAGAUCUCCAGCAGUGAGUUAUCACCGAUAAGCCUCCUUGGUAGUGGAUUCUCGGCUUUGAGUCAUUAGCCUACAGAGGCUCUAUUGUUGACCUGUGGCAACAGACCUCACUAGCGAGCAAUUUCCGACAAUUUCAUUAUUCUGGCAGAGGGCUAACAGAAGUAAUUUUGGUCCUAAGGACUUUGAUCGAGGCGGGUGUUGAGACGAAGUGGACAUCGGAUUCUGACCACACUUAGAG